UUACCUGGUCUUGACAUAGUAAGAACUUUCCAGAGAUGGAUUGGUGCCUUCGGGAACUUACAUACAGGUGCUGCAUGGCUGUCGUCAGCUCGUGUCGUGAGAUGUUGGGUUAAGUCCCGCAACGAGCGCAACCCUUUUCCUUAUUUGCCAGCGGGUUAAGCCGGGAACUUUAAGGAUACUGCCAGUGACAAACUGGAGGAAGGCGGGGACGACGUCAAGUCAUCAUGGCCCUUACGACCAGGGCUACACACGUGCUACAAUGGUCGGUACAAAGGGUUGCUACCACGCGAGUGGAUGCUAAUCUCAAAAAGCCGAUCGUAGUCCGGAUUGGAGUCUGCAACUCGACUCCAUGAAGUCGGAAUCGCCAGUAAUCGCGGAUCAGAAUGCCGCGGUGAAUACGUUCCCGGGCCUUGUACACACCGCCCGUCACACCAUGGGAGUUUGUUGCACCAGAAGUAGGUAGUCUAACCGCAAGGAGGACGCUUACCACGGUGUGGCAGAUGACUGGGGUGAAGUCGUAACAAGGUAGGCGUAGAUGA
rnacentral:rRNA from 1 species